UAUUUUCCCAUUUAUUGGGAAAAUCAAAAAAUGACUGCUAAACUAUCACCCCAGUAAAAUUCAAAGUUGACUUUUCUACCAGCUAUUUUGUUCUGAUUUACAAUUGUCUAUAAGAUAAAAAAAUAAACUUUGUAAAACCAAUACAUUCCUCACACUCUACUCAGAAUCUAAAACAGUGUCUAUAGUAUUGAAAUUGGUAUAGGUGUUUAAGUGUAAAGUGUAGAGGUAUUUAUGAGGGACCCCUAUAAAUCUGCCACUGGAUGAGUAGG